AACCCGAGGGACUGAAGAGACUUUAGAUCCCGUUUGAGGCCCGAUUCUGACACGGCAGAAGGGCCUCCGUCGGCUGAGCCACGGGCGAUUCAGGUAUGCUUCUUUCCCUCUUUUUCCCUCUUUUUUUUUUUACUUUCGUUACAAAUGAGUAAAAAUAAUAAAUAAAAAUAAAAUAAAUAAGAAAAAUGCAAGAACCGAAAAAAAGAAACGAUGGAAUCAACCUUUUAUUUUAAAUCUUUAAUCUGCGUUUUUUAUUAAAUUGUUGUAAAAAAAGAAGAAGAUUACAGUAUUGGUAUUCGGCUCUUUUAUAGCCGAUUUUCACAAUAUUUUGUUUCUAUUUUGGCUCUCUUUUCUUGCUUUCUGCCUUUGCGUGUUCUCUUUUGCAGGUGACGGCGCAAGUGGGACGAUGGGACAGUGGCGGCGCGAGGCGAUGGCAGCGGCGGCAGAAGGCCGAGGGUCAAAGACCCUAGAAGCGGCGCCUAGGGUUUCAGUCUCUGAAACCUUAGGCAGAUUUUUUUGGUGAGAUUGGGCCUAGGCUAAAUGGGCUUCGGGUUUGAGUUCAAUUAUAAAUGGGUUUUUGGGUUUGUUUGGGUGUAUUGGGCUUCGGGUUUU
rnacentral:lncRNA from 1 species